GCCCCGGUAGCUCAGCUAGGUAGAGCACCGCUCUGGUAAGGCGGGGGUCCCGGGUUCAAACCCCGGCCGGGGCU
rnacentral:tRNA from 2 species